UCAAGGAACUGUAGUGGAUGCCUGUAGUCCCUACUGUUUGGAAGGUUGAGGCAGGAGGAUUGCUCACAAGUUCUAGACUAUAGUGUGCUAUGCUGAUCUGUGUCUGCACUGAGUUUGACAUCAAUACUGUGACCUCCUGGAAGGUAGAGACCACCAGGUAGCCUGAGGAGGGGUGAAGCUGGCUCAGGUCUGAAACAGAGUAGGUUAUAACUCCCAUGUUCAUCAGCAGUGGAAUAGAGCCUGUGGAUAGCNACUGCAUUCCAGCCUGGGCAACACAGUGAUACCNGNCUCUUU
rnacentral:SRP_RNA from 1 species